UUAAUUGAAGCCAAAAAGAGGCUUAUCACUGUUAAUGAUAGAACUGAGAUCACUCUCCAAUUAAG
rnacentral:tRNA from 1 species